AGCUCGAGUUUCUCUUCAUUAUCGCAUAAAUCUUUCGCCUUUUACUAAAGAUUUCCGUGGAGGGGAACUUUUGCGAGUGACCUGUAUGUAAGGGAAGUCGUGGCCUAAUGGUUA